UACGUAGGCAGCGAGCGUUGUUCGGAGUUACUGGGCGUAAAGGGUGUGUAGGCGGUCCUCUAAGUUUGGUGUGAAAUCUCCCGGCUCAACCGGGAGGGUGCGCCGAAAACUGGGGGGCUAGAGUGCGGGAUGGGAGAGUGGAAUUCCUGGUGUAGCGGUGAAAUGCGUAGAUAUCAGGAGGAACACCGGUGGUGUAGACGGCUCUCUGGACCGUAACUGACGCUGAGACACGAAAGCGUGGGUAGCAAACAGG
rnacentral:rRNA from 1 species